GACGAACGCUGGCGGCGUGCUUAACACAUGCAAGUCGAACGGAACCGUCCUGUCUUUGUGGGCUGCUCGGGUGGCGACCGGGUGAGUAACACGUGAGUACCCUGUCCCUCACUUUGGGGUAACUUCAUACAACAGGAGCUCAUACCACAUAGGAGUUACUGCUGCUUGGUGGGGGUUGGAUAGUUUCGGUGGUUGGUGAUGGACUCGCGGCUUAUCAGCUUGUUGGUGGGGUAGUGGCUGACCAUAGCUUUGACGGGUAGCCGGCCUGGGAGGGUGACAGGCCACAUUAGGACUGAACUACGACCCAGACUCCAACGGGAGGCAGAGGUGGGGAAUGUUGCAUAAGGGGCGGGAGCCUGAUGCAGCAACGCCGCGUGCGGGAAGACGGCCUGCGGGUUGUAAACCGCAUUCGCCUGUGACGAAGCGUGAGUGACGGUAAUGGGUAAAGAAGCACCGGCUAACUACGUG
rnacentral:rRNA from 1 species